rnacentral:misc_RNA from 1 species
CAAGUUUCCUCUUGGAUAUUGACUUGCAAGCAUAUUGCUUACCAGUUGAAAUCUCAGUACAAAGGUAAGUUACACCAAAUUGACCCCUACCCAGUUCUUUCCCAAUUGUAUAAUACAACUUGACAUCCUCAUAUGGUUUUUCAAGAAUUGUGUCUGGUCCGUGGACUGGUUUUGGGCUUGGUGCUGGAACAGCAGGCUUUCUUGGGAUUUGUGCAGGUGGCUGGGAGGGUAAUUGGUAGGCUGGCUGAGCUGGGGAUUUGGAUUGGUAGACAAUUGGUUCUUGGGGUUUUUGAUGAUUGUGCAUGCCUGUAGUACCAUUGUAGAGCCGUGGCUGAGUCUUUUUGUCUUUGCUCAAGCAGUGACCCAUUUCUUGCCUAAUUUCUCAAUACACAGAAGCAGAUUCAGGUGAUACCCAGAUCAGGAAACAAGAGUAUGAUACUGAAUUUUCAAGAAAAACAAGGAAAUUUUGGUUCCAAAAUUUAGCGCAAAAAUAGAAUCCCAGACCAAAAUUAGAAAAGAGACGAAAUACCCAGACAAGAAAACAGUAGGUUUUCAGAGAAAGAAAGCAGCUUUCUGAUUCUGGAUGCUUUCUUUCUCUGGAUCAAAAUUCAGAAAUUCAGGGAUGAGAUAAACAAUAAAAUAAAUAAAAAAGAAGCAGGAAUAGACAAAUCACAACCAGAUAGGACCUAGGAGAAAGCCCAAAAACUGAGAAAUGAUUAAUGGUACCAACUUAGGAAGGCUGCAGCCAAAGUAGAUCAGAGUUACAGGCUUUGGAGGUGAAGGCUUUUUGAGAAAGAAAAAUCUAAUAGGAAAAAAAAAAAUGGAUAAACGAGAAACUGGUCAACUUUUGGACUGAAACUUCAGUAAAUUCU